UACGGAGGGUGCAGGCGUUAAUCGGAAUUACUGGGCGUAAAGCGUGCGCAGGCGGUCUUUUAAGUCAGAUGUGAAAUCCCCGGGCUUAACCUGGGAACUGCGUUUGAAACUGGAAGGCUAGAGUGUGGCAGAGGGGGGUGGAAUUCCACGUGUAGCAGUGAAAUGCGUAGAUAUGUGGAGGAACACCGAUGGCGAAGGCAGCCCCCUGGGCUAACACUGACGCUCAUGCACGAAAGCGUGGGGAGCAAACAGG
rnacentral:rRNA from 1 species